AAUGAUUUCACGAUAGUGGGAGCGAGUACGAGGCUCGGAGGAAUUGUGGAAUUAGUUCGAACGAUUAAUUUUCGAAAAAACGAACGUUAUUUAGGGGGUCUCAAAAAGUGACUUUUUAUACAUUGGGAAUUUGGGAAAACUUCCUUCAUGAAAGUUGUAGAGGACAUUAAACCGAGUGCGUGCAUAUGUGGUACGUAAAAAUCGGAGUUCGUAUGCGAAAGUUAUAAGCAAAAUAUGAAAGUUACUGUUUAUGGUAGAUUGGUAUAAAUUUGAAAUGUUACUGUAGCCAGGUAACUUUUCUUUCUUUUCUCUCUCCUUCCCCCGUGCUCUCUCAGUCUCUCUCUUCUGCAACUCUCUCUUUCUCUCUUCUGCAACCUCCUCUUUCACCACCUCUAGACCACCAAAUGGCGAGCUGCGAGCAUCGAUAGACUCGUCUCUUCCUCCUUAUCACGCAUGUGGGAGUUGUUUACGACGAUUUGGCCGGAAAUGUGGAGAUCGAAGCCAACAUUUUUACUGUAGCAAAUUAGUCAACGCCGAUUUCCGGCCACCUCCAGUCAUAAACCCAGGUCCAUUAGAAGCGCCUUAAGCCGCUCUUCAUGCUCGCCAAGUCUCAUAACCCAGAUCGAAGCAUGGAGGAAGAAAGCAUAAUUGGAAAAUUUCACUGUACAUCGGAGUGCUUAAUUGUUCGGCUACUUCAAGGUGAUUGACGGUUUGAGUUGGUGGACGAUUGUGGAUCGUAUUUUGAGCUGAAUUGAAGACGCAGCGGGAUUAUCGAGCGGGAAAUCCUACAGGACAGGAGAACCAGGACGGUGAUCGUGCGGUUAGAGCAAUUGUUAGAGUUUUACAGCAAUUGUAAGUUGUGAGGUGCGUUAUGCUCAUUUAGAGCUUUACAAUAUUGCUUGUGAGAGUGAAUUGUAAUAAUGAACUCGAGGUUUCGAGAUUUGGAGUUUGUGUACCGUGUGGUGAAGUUAUAUUGAGAAAAAAAAAUUCAGAAUGUUUAUUUGAUUAAAUGGUUUAAUUC